UACGAAUGGAGCAAGCGUUGUUCGGAAUCACUGGGCAUUAAGGGCGCGUAGGCGGUCUCGUAAGUCGCGGGUGAAAGCCCAUCGCUCAACGGUGGAAGUGCCUGCGAUACUGCGGAACUUGAGUGCGGGAGAGGAGAGCGGGAUUCCAGGUGGAGCGGUGAAAUGCGUAGAUAUCUGGAAGAACGCCGGUGGCGAAAGCGGCUCUCUGGUCCGUUACUGACGCUGAGGCGCGAAAGCUAGGGGAGCAAACAGGAUUAGAAACCCUUGUAGU
rnacentral:rRNA from 1 species